GCCCACCCUGGUGGCGGCCGUCAUGUUCCUGCUUCCCGUGUAGGGAGACGGGCCCCGGGAGGCCCCGGGGGCGCCGCCCGGGGCGGGCU
rnacentral:tRNA from 1 species